GCUAUUUUGGCAGAUAAAUGCGGUGAACUUAGAAUUCAUUUAUGUAGAUUUUUUCUACAAAUAGCA
rnacentral:tRNA from 1 species